ensembl:ncRNA lncRNA:CR44127 long non-coding RNA:CR44127
GUAAACAAGAGCGAUAAUGAACACAAAGAAUUAGCGACGGAAUAUAGAAUGUUUUGGUAGUUUCAAAUGUAAUGACCAGCAAAACAUUCACCAGCAAAAAUUCCUAUGUAGAUGUGUUACGGCAUAAUAAAACAGCGUCUUUAAGCUUAUUGACUUGAACAUUAAAUCAUUGUCCUUGUUGUUUUAGUUGGACUUGCAAGGACAUCACAUCGAAGAUGAUGAACUCAGCAGGCUAUCUGAAUGCACCUCCGUGGCAAAUUAAUAAAUUGAAAUAUACAUACAUGUAAUAAUUACAGAAAAUAAUUUUCUCAUGACUAUACAUUUUUGUAAUUGGUGUAAAUUGCUUGGUU